rnacentral:rRNA from 1 species
GACGGAGGGGGCAAGCGUUGUCCGGAAUCACUGGGCGUAAAGCGCGUGUAGGUGGUCCGCUGCGUCGGCGCUGAAACCUCUGGGCUCAACCCAGAGACGCGUGCCGAUACGAGCGGACUUGAGGCAGGGAGAGGGUGGCGGAAUUCCGGGUGUAGUGGUGAAAUGCGUAGAGAUCCGGAGGAACGCCAGUGACGAAGGUGGCCACCUGGCCCUCGCCUGACACUGAGACGCGAAAGCGUGGGGAGCGAACCGG